UACGUAGGGUGCGAGCGUUAAUCGGAAUUACUGGGCGUAAAGCGUGCGCAGGCGGUUCGUUAAGUUCGUUGUGAAAGCCCCGGGCUCAACCUGGGAACUGCAAUGGAAACUGGCGGGCUUGAGUGUGGCAGAGGGGGGUGGAAUUCCGCGUGUAGCAGUGAAAUGCGUAGAGAUCCGGAGGAACACCAGAGGCGAAGGCGGCCUACUGGGCUGCACCUGACGCUGAGGAGCGAAAGCGUGGGGAGCAAACAGG
rnacentral:rRNA from 1 species